rnacentral:lncRNA from 1 species
GACUAAUAAUAACUUACACACAUAAGUAUUUUUAAUGAACUCAAUAGUGUUGACACUUGAUGUCUCCCAUUCUCUCUUCAUUCUAUAAUUUUUUAUAAAUAACCCAAAACUUAAAUUUAAAGGAUUUUGGAAUGAUUUGUUAUUUGCUGAAAUUUCAAUUUUUUUAAGGGAGCGGUAAAUUUGUACAAGACAAAAUGGUCCUUUUGGAUUUUCCUUCAACUUGGUGGAACUAAGCCAGAGAGUCCUUUAUUGGUCGCUCACAAAGUUGAUUCAGCUUUUGAAAGUUGAAGCACUUCCAUUCCAUUUCAGAAACGUUGUUCAAAAUUCAAAUCAUGGAUGCACAUGACUCAGAAGACCCAAAGCAAAGCACUGCUGAUAUGACUGUUUUUGUGCAAAAUCUUCUUCAGCAGAUGGUGAGUUCUAUACUCUAGGUUCAUGGAGCUGCAUUGCUUAUUUUAAGUUCAUUGUUUAUUAACUACUAAAUCUUUACCAUGCUCAAAAUUUCGAACUUGUCAGUUUCCAUUUUGAAGUUUUCGUGGUUUUAUUAGAGAUUUUCUGGAUAAUCAAAAUAUAGUGGAGUAAUUAACUGUUACUAACAAUAAUUUUGUUUCCAGCAAACUAGGUUCCAGACAAUGUCUGACUCCAUCAUUUCAAAGAAUAUCCUUUUUCAGACAUUCUUCAAGUUGUUGAUAUGAUAAAGUUUGUUUGAUAGAAAUUUGUCAAAGAAACUGAUUUCAGAAAAUGGUUGUUCACGAUAGAGAUCUUGCUUUUUCCCC